rnacentral:rRNA from 1 species
GAUGAACGCUAGCUACAGGCUUAACACAUGCAAGUCGAGGGACCGGCGCACGGGUGAGUAACACGUAUCCAACCUGCCCUUUACUCGGGGAUAGCCUUUCGAAAGAAAGAUUAAUACUCGAUAUAAAGGAUGGGGAUGCGUUCCAUUAGGUUGUUGGUGAGGUAACGGCCCACCAAGCCUUCGAUGGAUAGGGGUUCGGAGAGGAAGGUCCCCCACAUUGGAACUGAGACCCGAUCCAAACGGCUAGGGGAGGUAGCGGUGAGGAAUAUAGGGAAAUGGGCGGUAGCCUGAACCGGCCAAGGAGCGUGAAGGAUGAAGGGUUAUGGGUCGUAAACUUCUGUUAUAUAAGAAUAUGUAUUAUAUGAAUAAGGAUCGGCUAACUACGUGCCAGCAGCCGCGGUAAUUC